AAUGCACUCGCACUGUGUGUUAGUCUCGUUUUUAUAUCACUUUUUCUUCGCUUUAUUUGAUUCGAAUAUUAUUUCGGGAUAAAAUGUAAAACGACGAUUUAUCUUCGAUGUCAAAUCACCAGACACAUACAAAGAGGCAAAGAGAUAUGAGAUGUGUCAGAAAAUAAGCACCACAUUAUAUGUUGUCAUUUGUUUUAUAAAAACAGAGGAACACCACCAAAAAGACACAAAUCUCUCUGUUCAUUGAAUUAACGAUUUAUGCAGGCCAUAUUGAAUCAAUUAAAAUGUGUCCAACAAAACAUACUCCGUGGAUAAUAGCUUCGAAACCUCUUAAUGGCAACAAAAAAGAACUUUGUGGCAACGCUGCUUUCAGUGGAUAUGGUAAAAAUAGACUUUCCAAAUAUAUUUCAGCGAGACCUUAAAUAAUUUGGAAAAUAUUUUUAUGGGAAUUUAUAUCGGCAGCUUGGUGUGCGGUUGGACCAUUCACAUUUUUUGGUGCAGACAUGCCUCUUAGGCUUGGGUUUGGUAAAUGUAAAUAAACAAAACUCCAAACACAACACAAAUAAAGAGACGAGAAAUAUCCUAAAAAUCUCUUCCUCAAUCGACUGUACAGCUUAGUGAAAAUGUGGUAUCAUUUUAGAGAUAAAGUUUUUUUUUUCGUCGUGUAUAAGAAUAAAUAAAAUCAUUUG